rnacentral:rRNA from 1 species
UACAGAGGGGGCAAGCGUUAUUCGGAAUUAUUGGGCGUAAAGGGCGCGUAGGCGGCUUGGCAAGUGGAAGGUGAAAUCCCUCGGCUUAACCGAGGAACUGCCCUCCAAACUGCUUCGCUUGAGACCGGGAGAGGUGAGUGGAAUUCCCAGUGUAGCGGUGAAAUGCGUAGAUAUUGGGAGGAACACCAGUGGCGAAGGCGGCUCACUGGACCGGUACUGACGCUGAUGUGCGAAAGCGUGGGGAGCAAACAGG